AGAGGKUCGCGAGCGUUGUUCGGAUUCAUUGGGCGUAAAGGGUGCGUAGGUGGCUCGGUAAGUCGGGUGUGAAAUCCUGAGGCUCAACCUGGGAACUGCAUUCGAUACUGCGGCGCUUGAGGACUGGAGAGGAGACUGGAAUUCAUGGUGUAGCAGUGAAAUGCGUAGAGAUCAUGAGGAAGACCAGUGGCGAAGGCGGGUCUCUGGACAGUUCCUGACACUGAGGCACGAAGGCCAGGGGAGCAAACGGGAUUAGAUACCCCGGUAGUCCUGGCAGUAAACGGUGCACGUUUGGUGUGGGAGGAUUCGACCCCUUCCGCGCCGGAGCUAACGCGUUAAACGUGCCGCCUGGGGAGUACGGUCGCAAGAUUA
rnacentral:rRNA from 1 species